CUUCUUCUCUCACUCCUCAGUCUUUCUCUUAGCCGAGCGCCCCUCUUCUUCUUUCUCGGUUUCUUUCACUCUCCACUCAAAUCCACUCAAAAUACUCUCAAGUUUGCCAAUUUUUUGGGAGAAAAUUUAUGGGGCUGCUCCCCUUAAGCUCCUCCACACUUUCCCUCCAUCUUUUUGAGAUUUGACUGGAUGAAUCUCUAGAUCGAGGAUGGUUUGUCGCCGAAAUCCUUCAGUCAUUGAAUCUGACUCUAAUGAAGACUCCCUAGAGAUUCAUGAGGAGGUACCCACAAGGUCUAGGUCCAAGCGAGGAAGAGGCUCUAGAAAUGUUGUGAUGGGAGCUGAGGCCUCUGGGUCUCAGAGUGGUCGCGGGCGUAUGACUCGAACUCCUAGUCGCUCUCGCCCUACUGCAAAUCCACAGGCCUGGGAACCUUCAAGCAAUGAUGAAGGUGGUAAAGACGAUGUUACUGAUCUUCCUCUUCUAGAUGCUCCCAUUGUCAGGGGUCUAGUUCUGCAUAAGGCCCAAGCCAGAAGAUCUGCGAAUGAGGAGAUCACUGAUUUUAGUGCCAGUGGAGGCUCGACACCUCUUCAUGACAUGCGCUUCCAAAAUCCAGCUUGUAAUACCUACUUUGUAAUAAAAAUCUAAAAAGAGAAAUUUCAUUUCUUUAUAUAUUUGUGAGUCA